UCAUUAGUUACCAUCAGUAAGGCUGGGGACUCUAAUGAGACUGCCAUCGUAAGAUGUGAGGAAGGUGGGGAUGACGUCAAAUCAGCACGGCCCUUACGUCCGGGGCGACACACGUGUUACAAUGGGUGGUACAAAGGGCAGCUACCUGGCGACAGGAUGCUAAUCUCCAAAACCAACUCUCAGUUCGGAUCGGAGUCUGCAACUCGACUCCGUGAAGCUGGAUUCGCUAGUAAUCGCGCAUCAGCCACGGCGCGGUGAAUACGUUCCCGGGCCUU
rnacentral:rRNA from 1 species